GGAACAUCAUGCCUUUGUAGCAGUGAGGAGAGUUGGUAUUUAUCAGGGUUCAGAGCUAGUUCAGCCACACACUUGACAAAUUAUUUGUGGAAUUGUUGUAUUCACAGUCACUUAAAUAAGAAUCUGUCAACACAAGGCUGUGCUUUGUUGCAGCAGGUCUCACAGUUUUUCCUGCGCACUCAAAGAAUGAUGGAUUGGAGGAAAAUUGAUCUUUCUGCACUAGGAAGAAGCUUGUCUGUGCAGGAGAGGGCUUCCUCAGAGGGUGGUUUCAAGGACUCAAUUGGACAAUAUGUUUAUCUUCUUGGAUGCUGAAUAUAAUAAGCUGACGUGAAUAUAAUAAGGGAUAACACCAUAUAAUUCAAACAAGGUAAUCCUGACAAAGAAGCAAAUCAGUCAGUGGACAUCACCUAUUGUUCUGCCUGGUUUCAUUUGAGUGUUAGUAGAAGACCAACUCUUCUAUACAACAUCUAACAGUUUGCUAAAUACACAACUAAUUCACUUAUUGGAGGUGAUACUUAUCAAAAAGCUGAGAGGAAUUUGCACAUUGAAAUAUAUUUAUGGUCAUGUGAACAAGGAAGUGACCUGUUGGAGAUGGACCUUGGGUUCCUGAGGAGAAAAGUUAAAGAAGUUACAGAGAAGCCUUCUGAUCACCCAGCUAUGAAAAGCACCGUGACUGGUUCUGCCCAGAAGCUGCGUGAAUACAUGUGGAGCAGAAAAGUUGCUCUUUAUAGCCAGCUGUAAAAUUCUUUCAAGCCCUGUGAACGUUCAGCAUGAGAAGGCUUUUCUCACUGGCAUUUUCUGAGAUAUAGAUUAACUUCAGCAUACCACCCUUCAGCAGUAUGCAUGAGUCAAGAUUACCCUCCAAGCUUACGCUAUAUCGAUGAAACUCAAAGUCAGCCGGUCCGUUUCAAGAACAAAAGCAGUGUUUGGUUCCAGUCAGCUGCCGGAGAACAUGCUCCAGAUUUGACAAACGUUGCAGUUAGUUGCUUUUGUGAGUUUAGUGCGCGGUGCAAAUGCUGUAAAAUGUUUUUCACAUGAUGCAAUAUUGCCAGCAGAUAAUCACUGGAGCAUUAAACCAAAAGAAUUUCUGUAUAUCCUACAAGCUGCAGGAGGAUAAGAAAAGGUGGUGUCUUGAAUUAGUUGGAUACUGCAAGUAUGGAGAGUAUUGAAUGAAAUCCUUUUCUGCAUCUUUAAUCUGUUUUAUGAAGUGCGUCUUCAGAAGUACAAAGGAAGACAGCCCCAAUUUGUUUGUACUGGAUACAGAGGUACUACAGUUACGUAUGAACAUUUCUCAUGGUAUGGAACAGAUCCUUCAGAUCCUCAGGACAGAUAUUAUCCAUCUUCCUUUAGUCAACAGCAAGAAAUCUGAGGUUAAGGAUUCUUCCAGUGAAAACAGGCAGCAGUGUUUUCUAGUCAUCUAUAGUGGUUAUUCCAGAAGCUCAGACUGCUGCUUUCCUUCUUUCCCUGCUCCCAGCAUGGUUUCUGCAGCAAAGAAACUGUGAAGUAUUAAGGGAGAAGUGCAGCUACCAACACUUGAAAUGUUUAAAGGAAGGCUGUGAUUCAGCACGCUCCUGCUCACAGAUUUGAUGCACGUUUUGCCGGUUGCUGACUACUGAGCCUUCUGUAGGAAACCUACUUCAGUGAUCUCCAGAGGUGCCUUCCAACCCCUAUGAUUGUGUGAUUCUGUGACUGUGUCCUGAUGUUCAUGUAGCACCGUCUCUCCUUAAUGUACGGUAGAAUAACACAAUGUGAAGGCUUUCUCUAGAAGAGAGUGUCCUUAACUACUUAAGGCCUUCAAAUUCCUCUUUGUUGGAGAUGGGAAAAGAGGAUGGAAGCCAUAUGGACAGACUCAGAGGAGAGGGUAAAGUGACCAGGAGAAGCCCACAGAGAUCUUUCCCAAAGGAUGAGUGAGAUGAAACUGAAGGAAUGAACUCCCAUUGCCUUCUUCCUUCUGUGGACAGUGAAUACACAGACUUAAAAAAAAAUACAAAAAAAAGAUGUGUUUUGCUUGAAGUGAUGGUGCCUCCAAAUGCCCCCAUGAAGUCAGUUUUCCAGAUUAAAGCAUCAGAGCUAAGAAAAUAUUAUUUUUCCUCCCUCCUGUUUUCUCUGGAUUGCUUGUACCUCUUCAUAUACACUGAGUUUUCUCCUUGGCAAAAAAAGCUACACAUUUUCCAAGGUUUUCUGCUCUUCUGAACUGGAACAUGUUGUUGUGUGCUGCUAAGAGCACCUAGCUUUGGAGGAUCUGCAAAAGACUAGGUGUUUCCUGUUCUCCAGAACACACCUAUACAAGCUGUCCAAGUGGCCUGUACAGUUCAAGGGAGUGUUGCCAGCAAUAGAGUUUUAAUGCAUACAUAUACAACUUCAAGGGUGUGCAUUCUUCUGCUUCCCACAGCUGCGCAGCUCACAUAUGAGAGCACGAAGCUGAAGCGAGCGGCCUGGGCUGGUGCUGCAGGCAAAUAAAUGACAGUAUCAGAGACCAUCCAGUGUCCUCCUCCAUGGUGCUGGUCUACAAAUGAGCCGUGCAGGUAGGGCCGAAUGUUAAAUAUCCAGGUCUGUGUCGUACAGAGAAAAACACAGGAAGAAUAAGAAUCUCUUUGCAUUAGCCUGCAUGACAGCUAUCAACUUUCAAGCACUAGGAAGGAACCUCCUGAAGCAUUUUCUGUUUGCCGUCAUCAGAACCAAGGUGCUGAAUUAGGAGCACAGGUGAUCCCGGUCUUACUGUUCUGCUAGAAUAAGCAAAUAUAUAUGUGGUAUAUAUGGUAUGUUAUGUAAUGAAACAGAAGUAAAUUGCACGUUCCUUCCUAGCCUUUUUCAAAAAGGCACAGCAUGUUUAUUUAGAGAAAAUCUUUUUUUCCUCAAGAGACAUUGGAAAUGUAUAACUUUACGUCAAAGUCUUCGUUUAUUGUGUUCUCAGUAAUGUGCCUCUCUCCCC
ensembl:lncRNA